rnacentral:rRNA from 2 species
UACGUAGGUGGCAAGCGUUGUCCGGAAUUAUUGGGCGUAAAGCGCGCGCAGGCGGCCUUUUAAGUCUGAUGUGAAAGCCCCCGGCUCAACCGGGGAGGGUCAUUGGAAACUGGAAGGCUUGAGUGCAGAAGAGAAGAGCGGAAUUCCACGUGUAGCGGUGAAAUGCGUAGAGAUGUGGAGGAACACCAGUGGCGAAGGCGGCUCUUUGGUCUGUAACUGACGCUGAGGCGCGAAAGCGUGGGGAGCGAACAGG